rnacentral:rRNA from 1 species
AGCGAACGCUGGCGGCAGGCCUAACACAUGCAAGUCGAACGGACGCACCGGGGGUGGUGGCGCACGGGGGAGGAACGCGUGGGAACGUGGCGUUAGGCUCGGAAAAGCACCUGUAAACGGGUGGUAAUGCCGAAUGUGUCCUGCUGGGGCAGUAUUUGUCGCCUUUGGAGCGGCCCGCGUCUGUUUAGCUAGUUGGUGAGGUAACGGCUCACGAAGGCGACGCUCAGUAGCUGGUCUGAGAGGAUGACCCGCCACACUGGGACUGAGACACGGCCCAGACUCCUACGGGAGGCAGCAGUGGGGAAUCUUGCGCAAUGGGCGAAAGCCUGACGCAGCCAUGCCGCGUGAAUGAUGAAGGUCUUAGGAUUGUAAAAUUCUUUCACCGGGGACGAUAAUGACGGUACCCGGAGAAGAAGCCCCGGCUAACUUCGUG